GACGAACGCUGGCGGCGUGCCUAACACAUGCAAGUCGAGCGGUCCGGCACUUAACCUUUUAGGUUGGGUGCUGGAUAGCGGCGAACGGGUGAGUAACGCGUGGGUGACCUGCCCGGGAGACCGGGAUAACAGCUCGAAAGGGCUGCUAAUACCGGAUGAUAUCUUUUGGCUGCGGCCAAGGGAUCAAAGCGUUUUAGCGCUCUCGGAUGGGCCCGCGUCCCAUUAGCUAGUUGGUGGGGUAAUGGCCUACCAAGGCGACGAUGGGUAGCCGGUCUGAGAGGAUGGUCGGCCACACUGGGACUGAGACACGGCCCAGACUCCUACGGGAGGCAGCAGUGGGGAAUUUUGCGCAAUGGGGGCAACCCUGACGCAGCGACGCCGCGUGGGUGAAGAAGGCCUUCGGGUUGUAAAGCCCUGUUGGGGGGGACGAUAGUGACGGUACCCCCUGAGGAAGCCCCGGCUAACUACGUG
rnacentral:rRNA from 1 species